rnacentral:rRNA from 1 species
AUUAGUUAGUUGGCGGGGUAACGGCCCACCAAGACAACGAUGGAUAGGGGUUCUGAGAGGAAGGUCCCCCACAUUGGAACUGAGACACGGUCCAAACUCCUACGGGAGGCAGCAGUGAGGAAUAUUGGUCAAUGGACGAGAGUCUGAACCAGCCAAGUAGCGUGAAGGAUGACUGCCCUAUGGGUUGUAAACUUCUUUUAUAUGGGAAUAAAACGUUCCACGUGUGGGAUUUUGUAUGUACCAUAUGAAUAAGGAUCGGCUAACUCCGUGCCAGCAGCCGCGGUAAUACGGAGGAUCCGAGCGUUAUCCGGAUUUAUUGGGUUUAAAGGGAGCGUAGGUGGAUUGUUAAGUCAGUUGUGAAAGUUUGCGGCUCAACCGUAAAAUUGCAGUUGAAACUGGCAGUCUUGAGUACAGUAGAGGUGGGCGGAAUUCGUGGUGUAGCGGUGAAAUGCUUAGAUAUCACGAAGAACUCCGAUUGCGAAGGCAGUUCACUGGACUGCAACUGACACUGAGGCUCGAAAGUGUGGGUAUCAAACAGGAUUAGAUACCCUGGUAGUCCACACAGUAAACGAUGAAUACUCGCUGUUUGCGAUAUACAGCAAGCGGC